rnacentral:rRNA from 1 species
AUUGAACGCUGGCGGCAGGCCUAACACAUGCAAGUCGAACGGCAGCACAGAAGAGCUUGCUCUUUGGGUGGCGAGUGGCGGACGGGUGAGUAAUGUCUGGGAAGCUGCCCGAUGGAGGGGGAUAACUACUGGAAACGGUAGCUAAUACCGCAUAACGUCGCAAGACCAAAGUGGGGGACCUUCGGGCCUCACACCAUCGGAUGUGCCCAGAUGGGAUGAGCUAGUAGGUGGGGUAAUGGCUCACCUAGGCGACGAUCCCUAGCUGGUCUGAGAGGAUGACCAGCCACACUGGAACUGGGAAACGGUCCAGACUCCUACGGGAGGCAGCAUUGGGGAAUAUUGCACAAUGGGCGAAAGCCUGAUGCAGCCAUGCCGCGUGUAUGAAGAAGGCCUUCGGGUUGUAAAGUACUUUCAGCGGGGAGGAAGGCGGUGAGGUUAAUAACCUCGCCGAUUGGCGUUACCCGCAGAAGAAGCACCGGCUAACUCCGUGCCAGCCGCCGCCGUAA